CCUACGGGAGGCAGCAGUGGGGAAUUUUGGACAAUGGGCGCAAGCCUGAUCCAGCAAUGCCGCGUGCAGGAUGAAGGCCUUCGGGUUGUAAACUGCUUUUGUACGGAACGAAACGGUCUGCUCUAAUACAGUGGGCUAAUGACGGUACCGUAAGAAUAAGCACCGGCUAACUACGUGCCAGCAGCCGCGGUAAUACGUAGGGUGCGAGCGUUAAUCGGAAUUACUGGGCGUAAAGCGUGCGCAGGCGGUUAUAUAAGACAGAUGUGAAAUCCCCGGGCUCAACCUGGGACCUGCAUUUGUGACUGUAUAGCUAGAGUGCGGCAGAGGGGGAUGGAAUUCCGCGUGUAGCAGUGAAAUGCGUAGAUAUGCGGAGGAACACCGAUGGCGAAGGCAAUCCCCUGGGCCUGCACUGACGCUCAUGCACGAAAGCGUGGGGAGCAAACAGGAUUAGAUACCCUGGUAGUCCACGCCCUAAACGAUGUCAACUGGUUGUUGGGUCUUCACUGACUCAGUAACGAAGCUAACGCGUGAAGUUGACCGCCUGGGGAGUACGGCCGCGAAGGUUGAAACUCAAAGGAUUGACGG
rnacentral:rRNA from 1 species